ACGAACGCUGGCGGCGUGCUUAACACAUGCAAGUCGAACGGAAAGGCCUCUUUCUGGGGGUACUCGAGUGGCGAACGGGUGAGUAACACGUGAGUAACCUGCCCUUGACUGUGGGAUAACUUCAGGAAACUGGGGCUAAUACCGGAUAGGAGCUCCUGCUGCAUGGUGGGGGUGGGAAAGUUUCGGCGGUUGGGGAUGGACUCGCGGCUUAUCAGCUUGUUGGUGGGGUAGUGGCUUACCAAGGCUUUGACGGGUAGCCGGCCUGAGAGGGUGACCGGCCACAUUGGGACUGAGAUACGGCCCAGACUCCUACGGGAGGCAGCAGUGGGGAAUAUUGCACAAUGGGUGGAAGCCUGAUGCAGCAACGCCGUGUGCGGGAUGACGGCCUUCGGGUUGUAAACCGCUUUCGCUCAUGACGAAGCUUUGUGUGACGGUAGUGGGUAAAGAAGCACCGGCUAACUACGUG
rnacentral:rRNA from 1 species